AUAUAUUUUAUAAAAAAAAAUCUGUUCUUAUCAGUUUAAUAUCCGACAAUCGUCCCCAUCGGGGGACUACAUAUUAAAUGGAUUUUUCGAACAGGGAGUCGGAAAUGGGGCUUGCUCCGUCCGCUCCACGCAUCGACCCGGUAUUGCAGUACCUCCGGGAACGGUGCAACACUU
rnacentral:snRNA from 1 species